CCUUCGCUUUGAGUAGAGAUAUUCAAUAAAGAAAGCAAUUCGGCCAACUUGAGAGCGAAUUUGGAUCUAAUGGAAUAGAUCCGAGAACGAGCUCAAGUUCGGAUGGCAAACUACCAAUAGAAAGUGGCUUGGUAUUCUAACUCAUAAAUCAAAAAUAAAGCCUUUCGAGUAGGAGACCUCAUCCUAUGAAGAGCCAAAGUAUCUCACCC
rnacentral:lncRNA from 1 species